rnacentral:rRNA from 1 species
UUGAUUUUGACUUUUAUCCUACAUGGAUAACUGUGGUAAUUCUGGAGCUAAUACAUGCAUAAAAGAUGUUUCUUUAUUGAAACAUUGCGUAUAUUAGUAUUAAAACCAAGCAUUCUUCGGAAUGUUUUGUGUUGAAACUGAAUAUAUCUGCUGAUCGUAUGGUCUUGUACCGACGACAUGUCAUUCAAGUGUCUGAUCUAUCAACUUUCUAUAUAAGUAUAUAGUACUUAUAUGGUUUUGACGGAUAACGGGGUAUUAGGGUACGACUCCGGAGAAAAUGCCUGAGAAACGGCGUUUACAUCCAUGGAAGGCAGCAGGCGCGAAAAUUACCCACUCUCAGUACGAGGAGGUAGUGACGAGGAAUGACAAGAUCUAUUCCUUCGGGGAUGGAUCAUUGGAAUGGUUUGAUUUUAAAAUCAUUAAAGAGUAUCAAUGAGAGGGCAAGUCUGGUGCCAGCAGCCGCGGUAAUUCCAGCUCUCAUACUGCAUUGAAUUGUUGUUGCGGUUAAAAAGCUCGUAGUUGGAUCUGUACAUGAUAGGUUAGUUUAUUCUUUACGGAAUAUAACUAAUACUAAAUGUUUUUUGUUAGAUUUUUUUAUGGUUCGUAAGGAUCAUAAAAUGUCUAACGAGUUUACUUUGAAUAAAUCAGAGUGCUCAAAACAGGCGUAAGCUUGUAUGGUUUUGCAUGGAAUAAUAGAACAUGACUAUGGUUCAUGUUUUAUUGGUUUUACUUACCAUAGUAAUGAUUAAAAGGAACAAACGGGGGCAUCCGUAUCGCAGGGCGAGAGGUGAAAUUCGUGGACCCUUGCGAGACGAACUACAGCGAAAGCAUUUGCCAAGAAUG